UGUGCCACUGCCAGCCCUUGCGUGGGCCGCGCGCUGCCGCCGCCGCCGGCCGUCCCGUGCGCUGCCGCCAGCCCUCCUGUGCACCGCUACCGCCCUUCCCGUGCACCGCUGCUGCCGCACCCGCCGACGUGCCACGCUGGCCACGCGGCCCGCGCCGGCGCCGCCUGCCCGCGCCCGUGCGCCUGCUUGGGUGCGCCGUCUUUCCCUGCGCGGACCGCCGUUGACUCACGCCGCCAACAGAGCUCGCCGGAGCUCGCUACCGGCGCCGAAGAAGAAGAUGCCCAUGGAGAAGGUGGUAACGCUCCGGAUCACGCUUAGAGCGGCUGUCUCCUUCAUUGGGAGGCAAGUAACGUAGCGGUGGUUGCUACAAGCUUUAAUUUGCUAUUUAUUCUACAUCCAUCUUAAAUUUCAGAAUGAUAACUUGUCAAUUAUGAUCCAUUCCAAUAUGAACUUAUGAGCCUGUUAUUGUUGUUAUUAUAUAUGCCUUGUUCUGUAUUUUAUAACUUGUAAAGACUCUUGUUGGAAUAACUAGGAGGAGGCUUAUGUUGUCAGAUGAGAAGAGACUUAUCUGUAUAUACAGUGUAAACUCUUCUUUGUGCAAUUAUUCUUGGCAUUGCA